rnacentral:rRNA from 1 species
GAGUUUGAUCAUGGCUCAGAUUGAACGCUGGCGGCAUGCCUUACACAUGCGAGGCGAACGGUAUAGGUAGCAAUACCUUGAGAGUGGCGAACGGGUGAGUAAUACAUCUGAACAUGCCCAACUGUGGGGGAUAACGUAGCGAAAGUUACUCUAAUACCGCAUACUAUCUAAGGAUGAAAGCGGGGGACCGUAAGGCCUCUCGCAGUUGGAGUGGCUGAUGUCAGAUUACCUAGUUGGUAGGGUAAAAUCCUACCAAGGCAACGAU